UUCCAGUGCAAUGCAUGAACAAAGACAAAACCUGUACAAUUGAUAGCAGCUUUUUCCAGUACUUGGUGCAUGUCCUUAGAAGAAUCAAGGAUCAAGAACAGUUUCAGUUGCAAAGCAGGAAGCUCUCUACUAGAAU